AAGGAGGCCCCCUUUGCAAUGCGCAUCAACGCUCACCUUCACUGCUCGAGUUAUACGUCCCGCCUAGCCAAAUUAAUCGUAAUAGGUAAUAAUUAAUUCGAUUGCACAAAUUAAUUAUUGAAUGAGUCUAGGUUAAGCUACUAGCAGGAUACAACAAGUGUAUCGUGCCAAGCCAGAGCCAAGACUGCCUUAGCCGAGUGACACCGUUCGUUUUAUACACGUCAGAACAAUUCGAGUAAUAUAAUAACUGAGGGUAGGUGACUAUCGAACGAUGUGCUAGGUGGCGCGUCGAUCACCCCACUACUCUAACAGCUAAUAAUUGACAACUGACAUUAUCUGAAUACACCCAAGUCAAACACUUGACGUUCCGUAUUCAUACUCUGCGACAUAUAUUU
rnacentral:misc_RNA from 1 species